GGCCCUAUGGGGUGCAGCAGGCGCGAAACCUCUACAAUGCACGAAAGUGUGAUAGGGGGACCCUGAGUGCUCAGUUAAACUGGGCUUUUGUCAAGAGUAAAAAUCUUGGCGAAUAAGUGGUGGGUAAGACAGGUGCCAGCCGCCGCGGUAACACCUGCGCCACAAGUGGCAAUCGUUGUUAUUGGGCCUAAAGCGUCCGUAGCAGGUCUUGUAAAUCUCUUGUGAAAUUGUUGCGCUCAACGUAACAGCGCGCAAGAGACACUGCAAGACUUGGGACCGGGAGGAGUCAGAGGUAUUUUUUGGGGAGCGGUAAAAUGCUAUAAUCCAAGAAAGACCACCUAUGGCGAAGGCAUCUGACCAGAACGGAUCCGACUGUGAGGGACGAAAGCUAGGGGAGCGAACCGGAUUAGAUACCCGAGUAGUCCUAGCCGUAAACUCUGCGAGCCAGGUGUUACGCAAUCUUCGGGAUUGCGUAGUAUCGAAGCGAAGGCGUUAAGCUCGCCGCCUGGGAAGUACGGUCGCAAGGCUGAAACUUAAAGGAAUUGGCGGGGGAGCAC
rnacentral:rRNA from 1 species